rnacentral:rRNA from 1 species
GACGAACGCUGGCGGCGUGCUUAACACAUGCAAGUCGAACGAUGAAGCUGGAGCUUGCUCCGGUGGAUUAGUGGCGAACGGGUGAGUAACACGUGAGAAAUCUGCCCUUGACUCUGGGAUAACUGCGGGAAACUGUAGCUAAUACCGGAUACGAGGCUCGAAGGCAUCUUCGGGUCUGGAAAGAAUUUCGGUCAAGGAUGAGCUCGCGGCCUAUCAGCUUGUUGGUGAGGUAAUGGCUCACCAAGGCGACGACGGGUAGCCGGCCUGAGAGGGUGACCGGCCACACUGGGACUGAGACACGGCCCAGACUCCUACGGGAGGCAGCAGUAGGGAAUAUUGCACAAUGGGCGAAAGCCUGAUGCAGCAACGCCGCGUGAGGGAUGAAGGCCUUCGGGUUGUAAACCUCUUUUAGCGGGGAAGAAGCGAAAGUGACGGUACCUGCAGAAAAAGCACCGGCUAACUACGUGCCAGCAGCCGCGGUAA